rnacentral:misc_RNA from 1 species
UCGCGGCUUACCACCGGCUUUCCCGUGCAUGUCAAGCCCAGGUAAGGUUCUUCGCGUUGCUUCGAAUUAAACCACAUGCUCCACCGCUUGUGCGGGCCCCCGUCAAUUCCUUUGAGUUUCAGCCUUGCGGCCGUACUCCCCAGGCGGGGCACUUACUGCGUUAGCGACGGCACCGGGAGGGUCGCUCCCCCCGACGCCUAGUGCCCAUCGUUUACGGCGUGGACUAC